rnacentral:lncRNA from 1 species
AAUUCAUGCAAGUUGAAAAGCGCCUUAGAUCUAAGAUAUAUUUUCUGACUUCCGUUAAUCGUUGAGGGGCAAAACAUCUAGCCUGAGAAUCAGGAUUUGUACAUCAACAUUGAGACACUGUUUUGGUUCAUAUAGUUACGUUAAAAUCUUUUCAAGAAAAAGGAUAUACAUGGGGGUACUUCCUAUUAUUAAUAAAUAAUUGUUCCAUUUUUUAUUCAGGCCUAUCUUGGACGGGUUGAUCGUGGAUGUCAACACGUUUUGAAGAUGCAUGCUGUUAAUGCAAGUUUAGCUACUUAAAAUCGAGCUUAAAAUAUCACAGGACCUUUAUCCAAACACAAUCAAAAUAAUACGAAAUGAUUCUUUUAUAACUUUUACGAACUGAAUGUGCAAUUUUAGCUUAAUAAAAGCGCCCAUCUUGUACAUUUCACCUUCCUGUAACUAUUCUGUUAAUUAUAUUUGCUGUGCUGGUGUAAUGUACUCAGGUGAAUAAGAAGCUUGAUGUUACUCUGAGUGUAUAUCCACACCGGGAAGGCUUGAGGCUAGAGCAGAGAGGCUGGAGCAGAGAGCAGAGAGGCUAGAGCAGAGAGGGUUAGUAUUCUAAAGAUCGUAGGUUCGAAUCCCAUUAGAUUGGGCUAGUAUUCCAAAGGUCGUAGGUUCGAAUCCCAUCGUGGCCAGGCAUAUUUUUCAAGCCUUCCCGGUGUGGAUAUACACUCAGAGUAACAUCAC